GACGAACGCUGGCGGCGUGCUUAACACAUGCAAGUCGAACGGAAAGGCCCUGCUUUUGUGGGGUGCUCGAGUGGCGAACGGGUGAGUAACACGUGAGUAACCUGCCCUUGACUUUGGGAUAACUUCAGGAAACUGGGGCUAAUACCGGAUAGGAGCUCCUGCUGCAUGGUGGGGGUUGGAAAGUUUCGGCGGUUGGGGAUGGACUCGCGGCUUAUCAGCUUGUUGGUGGGGUAGUGGCUUACCAAGGCUUUGACGGGUAGCCGGCCUGAGAGGGUGACCGGCAACAUUGGGACUGGGAUACGGCCCGGACUCCUACGGGAGGAGGCAGUGGGGAAUAUUGCACAAGGGGCGGAGGCCUGAUGCAGCAACGCGGCGUGCGGGAUGAGGGCCUUCGGGUGGAAACCGCUUUCGCCUGUGACGAAGCGUGAGUGACGGUAAUGGGUAAAGAAGCACCGGCUAACUACGU
rnacentral:rRNA from 1 species